UCCAGUGCAAUUGCUCAUCCA
rnacentral:misc_RNA from 1 species